rnacentral:rRNA from 1 species
GGAUUAGAUACCCUAUUAUUUUUAAUGUAAAAUUGUAAGACUGGAGUAGUAUUAGUUAAGGUCUUGAAACUUAAAGAAUUUGGCGGUAUUUUAGUCUAUUUAGAGGAAUCUGUCCCUUAAUCGAUAAUCCACGUUGAACCUUACUUAAUAUUUAGUAUGUAUACCGCCGUUGUUGAAAAUCUUUUUAGAGUUAAUUUCAUGAUUUUUUAUUAAUAAAAAUUUCAGGUCAAGGUGCAGCUUAUAAUUAAGUGGAGAUGGAUUACAAUGUCUGUAAGACAAAUGGAAUUUUAUUUUAAAGGUAAAUUGAAGGUGGAUUUAAUAGUAAAUUUGUGAAGAUUUUCAAAUUGAUUAAAGCUCUAAAAUGUGCACACAUCGCCCGUCGCUCUCGUUAAUUAAGAUGAGAUAAGUC